UAAACUCUGUUGGGGGAAAAGGCAGAAAGGCGUGAGUCUGUCGCUCUCUGGGCAAUGCUUGGAGACAACUAUACGAAACCAGUGCUGAUUUUUGACUUAUAUAACUAUUUUCUUGGAAUUCGCCUACUUGGUCGUGUUGGGAAGCAACAACACUCUUAGCGACCCGCUAUUUCCUCAGUGAAAAGUGUGGGCUGCUGUUAGCUAGCAGAGAGGACUGCAGGGCUGAGUGCCAACACUGAGCCUCUCCCAAAAAGGAAGCUCCAAGAGGUUUCUUGGCAAAAGUCAGUCUGGCCCUUCAAGGGAUUGGAUCAUUACCAGAGGAGAGCGUGGCCUCCCUGCUGGGCCAGAUGCUUUAUAUUCAGGGGACCUGAAAUCUGGAACAUUCAAAAUCAAUUCUCUCUGGCAACUGGAAUGUGCAAGAGGAACAGAGUUGCCAGGACAACACAUAAAACAGGAUUUGGGGUGGGUUUGUUCUUCCUUAUGAAAAAAAGAAAAAAAAAUAAAAGAGCCUUGAAUUCUGAAGAGAUGAAAAUUCUUUGCUGUCACAGUUUCCAGGUGUUACUGGACUUGCUUAUUCGCAUGUGCUUUAUUUUUAGCUUAAAAAUAAGUUUUAGUUUGCCAGAGGGAAGCAAUUCAGAAUUUCACGGAAUAACAUUCAACAGAGCUGGGAUAGUGUCACAGACAUUUGCAAAGUCAUCAUGACUUUGAAUUAUAUCCCAGAUUUAUGCAUCCUCAUUCAUCAUUUGGUUUGUAGUACAGAGAUGAGGAAAAAUAUCAGUGUCUUAUUUGUGCUUAUUAUCUAUUGUCCCCGAAAUACAAACCCUCACAGUGGUCCAUGUUUUUCCAAAUAAUGAUCUUUGAAAAGGAAUUGUGUUCAUGACAUGAAAAUAUUUCCUUCCUUUGAAAGUUGUGGUUCUCAAGGCAAGAAAUAGAUUUGAAGGCCUUACCUGUGCACAGCUCAUUUGCUGGAGCCUGGUCUGGCAAAGCACUUGAAAACCCUGGGACUGAUUGAAUACUGUGUAGGACUGUAUGAAAGCUAAUGGUCACCUGGGAGUGCUUUUCACCUCACUGGAUCAAAUUGUCAUUAUAUAAUACUCCCUAAUAAACUAUUUAUUAAAUAAACUUCCAAAAAAUGCACUCAUAGCUAAUACAAGGCACAUGCCCUGGUGAUUCUGUUACUUUCAGACUAAAUACUAACCAAAACAAUAAAUAUUUACAGUGAAA